UCAUUCACUGGUCGGUUAACAGUAGCGGUGAAUGUUUAAACCCCCUACUAUGGGAAAGACAAGGAAGCAGGGGUACGGGUGGCGAAGUUAGCGCCCUAUUGUCGAACGGCUGACGAGU
rnacentral:ncRNA from 1 species